rnacentral:rRNA from 1 species
AGGACGAACGCUGGCGGCGUGCUUAACACAUGCAAGUCGAACGGAAAGGCCCGCUUGCGGGUACUCGAGUGGCGAACGGGUGAGUAACACGUGGGCAACCUGCCCUCAGCUUCGGGAUAACACUUGGAAACAGGUGCUAAUACCGGAUGAUAACCUUUCACCGCAUGGUGGUUGGUUCAAAGUUUUCGGCUGAGGAUGGGCCCGCGGCCUAUCAGCUUGUUGGUGGGGUGAUGGCCUACCAAGGCGACGACGGGUA